rnacentral:RNase_P_RNA from 1 species
GGGGCAGGUUGGUCGGUAGCUCCGAUCAGAUGUGUGAGUAAAGUCCGGACUCCGCAAAGCAGCGCGUUCGCUAACAGCGACGGGUCUAAAGGCCACGGAAAGUGCAACAGAAAAUACACGGCCCACUUCAACUCUAAAGGUUGGAAGGCAAAGGUGAAAACGGGAGGUAAGAGCUCCCGACGCAAAAGACUGGAGACAGUCGCGUUGUAAACCCCGCGCGGAGCAAGACCAAACAGGAAAAGAGGUUGCUCGCCUCGCUAUGAUUCCGAGUAGGUCGCAUUGAGGUUGUCAGCAAUGGCAGCCCCAGACAGAUUACCGCAUAAAGACAGAAUCCGGCUUAUAGGCCUGCCCCCUUU